GAACGCGAAGAACCUUACCAGGUCUUGACAUCCCUCUGACCACUCUAGAGAUAGAGUCUUCCUUCGGGGCAGAGGUGACAGGUGGUGCAUGGUUGUCGUCAGCUCGUGUCGUGAGAUGUUGGGUUAAGUCCCGCAACGAGCGCAACCCCUAUUGUUAGUUGCCAUCAUUCAGUUGGGCACUCUAGCGAGACUGCCGGUAAUAAACCGGAGGAAGGUGGGGAUGACGUCAAAUCAUCAUGCCCCUUAUGACCUGGGCUACACACGUGCUACAAUGGCUGGUACAACGAGUCGCAAGCCGGUGACGGCAAGCUAAUCUCUUAAAGCCAGUCUCAGUUCGGAUUGUAGGCUGCAACUCGCCUACAUGAAGUCGGAAUCGCUAGUAAUCGCGGAUCAGCACGCCGCGGUGAAUACGUUCCCGGGUCUUGUACACACC
rnacentral:rRNA from 1 species